AGAAUAUCUCCUCAUACAGGUCAUUUUCUAUUUCGUCAAUGUGUUUUUGGUCUAAAAAGCUAGCGUCUUUUUGUCUCUUUAUGGUAUUUUUUGCCUUUAUUUUGAUUCUACAAUUGUACCCAGCAAGAAUUGAACAGCUUUUUUAACAACAAAACAGGUGAACAACUUGUACUGUAGCUUCUUUGUGGAAGAUAUUUACUGCAACUGCAAUGUUGGGGAAUUUUGCAAAACAACAGCAACAUACUAAUUCUACAGGUGCCGGUAGGUGUAAAAACAUGUAGAGGUAAAAAAAAAAAAUUCUUCUUCUCUGGUCUUUCACAGAAAUCCAUUUCCUUCUCAGUUAAGCCGGUUAUUUCAUUUGUUUCAAGAUACACAGUCCCUCCAGAAAAACGCGAUACUGCGAUCGCAUAAUUCAAAGUCCGCAUAUUUAUUCUCUUUUUCGUCAAACCGCAAUUUUUGCAAUUUCCCGCAAUUUUAUUGCAUAAAAUUGCAUAAAUAUCCCGCAUAUUCCAUUGCAUUUUUUGAGAAAACGUGCCGCAUCAUCAAGGGUUUUUGCCCGCAAAAA